GGAUUGUGGCUCAGUGGUAGACUGCUCACCUAGCCUGCAUGAGGUGCUGGGUUCGAUCCCCAUCACCA
rnacentral:tRNA from 1 species